UGAAGGUGAAUCAUUCUGUCCAAUUGCCUU
rnacentral:piRNA from 1 species